CUCCGCCCACCCCGCGCCGGGAACCCACGCGGGCCACUACAAGCCCGCCCUUUCCUACGUCUGGUCCAGUCGGUCUUCCUCCGGCCCGGGCCCUGGCCCAGCUAGCCGGCCAUGGAAGUGAAGAAAAUAUUUGGAAGCUCUGUGAAUACAUCAAAAACCAUGACCAGUAUCCUUUAGAAGAAUGCUAUGCUGUCUUCAUAUCUAAUGAGAGGAAGAUGAUACCUAUCUGGAAACAACAGGCGAGACCUGGAGAUGGACCUGUGAUCUGGGCUGACCCCCAGAAGCCUCCUUUGUUACUAGUUUGGAGCAGAUCCUUGCAGACGUUUUCCUCUGCAUUCACAUGCAUGCAAAUGUACUUCUGAAUGCGCACGAUUACCAUGUUGUUUUGCUUCAUGUUUCAAGUGGAGGACAGAGCUUCAUUUAUGAUCUCGAUACUGUCUUGCCAUUUCCCUGCCUCUUUGACACUUAUGUAGAAGAUGCCUUUAAGUCUGAUGAUGACAUUCACCCACAGUUUAGGAGGAAAUUUAGAGUGAUCCGUGCAGAUUCAUAUUUGAAGAACUUUGCUUCUGACCGAUCUCACAUGAAAGACUCCAGUGGGAAUUGGAGAGAGCCUCCGCCGCCAUAUCCCUGCAUUGAGACUGGAGAUUCCAAAAUGAACCUGAACGAUUUCGUCAGUAUGGAUCCCAAGGUAGGAUGGGGCGCUGUCUACACACUAUCCGAAUUUACACAUCGUUUUGGCAGUAAAAACUGCUAAACUUGGCCUCAAGAUGUGGAACUGUGGAGAAAUUCUAGGACAUGAACAAGCUAUCCUUUCAUCGAGGACAGCAAACAUUAUGAUGAAAUGGUGAUGACUGGAGUGACCUCGGAAGCUACGUAUCAAAGGCAGAAGAGCCACCAUCAGCCUGGAUUCCUGAUAACUCUAUGGAGCCGAGUUGCAUGCCUGCCUAAAUAGUAUAUUGUGGAACUCUUUCAUAGGAGACAAACUUAUAUAUUUUUUAAGUCACAGAAUUCUUGAUUAUGAAGCGGACACUCAAAGAGGUCCCCCAGCUAGUAAGUGGCCAAAGUGGGAUUCAUUUGACUGUUUGACUCCAGAGCUCAUGCAUUCAUGGGCAUGGCUACAGUUUGAAAGCAAGUUGCAGAUAUCAUGAGACUUCACCUAUAAAUACUUCAGAAGGAUUUCCUAAGAAAGACAUUCUUCUGCUUUAUGAUGAUAUUAUUAUCACGUCCAAGAAACUUAACAUUGAUGCAACAAUGAUGUCUAAUAUGUGGUCUGUAUUCAAACUUCUCCAGAUAUCCCCAAGAUGUUCUUUAUUGCUUUUUUUGGUUUCAAUCCAGAAUAAAUUUUGUAUUCUCUUAAUAUUAGAUCACAGUUAUUCUUCUGGAAUAUUUUGCUGUGAGAUGCUUAUACUUUUUACCGUCUAUUGAAUAACUCAUAAAGUUGAUUUGCCAUGCUUUAUUAAGUUUCUCUUUGAUUGCUAUUGUUUAUUCCUAUUAUAAGUAUACCACGAUGUUAAGUGGGACUUCCCCUUUCUCAGUUUUGACUCGGGCACCAAUUAAAUAGAUAUCAGAAUCCAAAAUGAGUGUGAGAUUGACGUGGUAUACAGAAUUCAUCAAGUGUCACAGGUUAGGUUCCUUGUAAAAGGCUCUUGAUGGACAUUUGUAUGGAGGCAGUUUAUUGGGGGAGUGUUUGGGGCUCAGCAGCUAAGGGGGAAGAAAGGAAGCAGGAUGAGACACAGGGAGGUGUUGAACUGUGAUGCAUUCCCUACUCAGCCAAUCCCCAGGGACCUCUAGAGCUGGGAUGGUGAUAUUUGGUUGUGUCCCCACCCAAAUCUCAUCUUGAAUUGUAGCUCCCAUAAUUUCUACUUGUCGUGGGAGGCACCUGGUGGGAGGUAAUUGAAUCAUGGGGGCAAGUCUUUCCUGUGCUGUUCUCAUGAUAGUGAAUACAUCUCACGAGAUCUGAUGGUUUUAUAAAGGGGACUCCCCUGCACAUGCUGUCUUGCCUGCCGCCAUGUUAAGACGUGACUUUGCUUUUCCUUCACCUUCCACCAUGAUUGUGAGGCCUACCUAGCCAUGUGGAACUGUGAAUCUAUUAAACCUCUUUCCUGUAUAAAUUA